rnacentral:rRNA from 1 species
AUCCAGACUCCUACGGGAGGCAGCAGUGGGGAAUAUUGCACAAUGGGGGAACCCUGAUGCAGCGACGCCGCGUGGGUGAAGGAGUAUUUCGGUAUGUAAAGCCCUCUCAGCAGGGAAGAACAAUGACGGUACCUGACUAAGAAGCACCGGCUAAAUACGUGCCAGCAGCCGCGGUAAUACGUAUGGUGCAAGCGUUAUCCGGAUUUACUGGGUGUAAAGGGAGCGUAGACGGCGAAGAAAGUCUGAAGUGAAAGCCCGCGGCUCAACCGCGGAAUGGCUUUGGAAACUUUUUUGCUGGAGUACCGGAGAGGUAAGCGGAAUUCCUAGUGUAGCGGUGAAAUGCGUAGAUAUUAGGAGGAACACCAGUGGCGAAGGCGGUUUACUGGACGGUAACUGACGUUGAGGCUCGAAAGCGUGGGGAGCAAACAGGAUUAGAUACCCCCGUAU